GAUGAAGAACGUAGCGAAAUGCGAUAAGUAAUGCGAAUUGCAGAAUUCAGUGAGUCAUCGAAUCUUUGAACGCACAUUGCGCCCCCUGGUAUUCCGGGGGGCAUGCCUGUUCGAGCGUCAUUUCAACCCUCAAGCUCUGCUUGGUAUUGGGCGUCGCCGGGGAGUCUCCCCGGCGUGCCUCAAAGCCAUCGGCGGUGGUGCCUUUCUCUAAGCGUGGUAGAAUUUUUAUUCGCUUCUGAGUUGGGCUUCGCCUGCCGGACAAACCGGGCCCUCGCGGCCCACCUUCUCAGGUUGACCUCGGAUCAGGUAGGGAUACCCGCUGAACUUAAGCAUAUCAAUAAGCGGAGGA
rnacentral:misc_RNA from 1 species